GCAAGUCGAACGUGAAGCCUUAGCUUGCUGAGGUGGAAAGUGGCGCAAGGGUGAGUACACGUGAAUAAUCUGCCCUCAACUUCGGAAUAGCCCCGGGAAACUGGGAUUAAUGCCGGAUGUGGUCUUCCGUUGAUUUCGGAAUGACUAAAGAUUGAGUUCGGUUGAGGAUGAGUUCGCGGCCCAUUAGUUUGUUGGUGAGGUAAUGGCUCACCAAGACUACGACGGGUAGGUGGUCUGAGAGGAUGGUC
rnacentral:rRNA from 1 species